rnacentral:rRNA from 1 species
GAUGAACGCUGGCGGCGUGCCUAAUACAUGCAAGUCGAGCGAAUGGAUUAAGAGCUUGCUCUUAUGAAGUUAGCGGCGGACGGGUGAGUAACACGUGGGUAACCUGCCCAUAAGACUGGGAUAACUCCGGGAAACCGGGGCUAAUACCGGAUAACAUUUUGAACCGCAUGGUUCGAAAUUGAAAGGCGGCUUCGGCUGUCACUUAUGGAUGGACCCGCGUCGCAUUAGCUAGUUGGCGAGGUAACGGCUCACCAAGGCAACGAUGCGUAGCCGACCUGAGAGGGUGAUCGGCCACACUGGGACUGAGACACGGCCCAGACUCCUACGGGAGGCAGCAGUAGGGAAUCUUCCGCAAUGGACGAAAGUCUGACGGAGCAACGCCGCGUGAGUGAUGAAGGCUUUCGGGUCGUAAAACACCGUUGUUAGGGAAGAACAAGUGCUAGUUGAAUAAGCUGACACCUUGACGGUACCUAACCAGAAAGCCACGGCUAACUACGUGCCAGCCGCCGCAGUAA